rnacentral:ncRNA from 12 species
AUUAUUUGAGGUGGUAAAUUUCGUUGCAACCACACACCCUAUGGAUUAAAAGAGAUGCAGGAGCCGCGACGCCUGCCAAAUAAU